rnacentral:rRNA from 1 species
AUGUCCCGAGCGUUAUCCGGAUUUAUUGGGCGUAAAGCGAGCGCAGACGGUUUAUUAAGUCUGAUGUGAAAGCCCGGAGCUCAACUCCGGAAUGGCAUUGGAAACUGGUUAACUUGAGUGCAGUAGAGGUAAGUGGAACUCCAUGUGUAGCGGUGGAAUGCGUAGAUAUAUGGAAGAACACCAGUGGCGAAGGCGGCUUACUGGACUGCAACUGACGUUGAGGCUCGAAAGUGUGGGUAGCAAACAGGAUUAGAUACCCUGGUAGUCCACACCGUAAACGAUGAACACUAGGUGUUAGGAGGUUUCCGCCUCUUAGUGCCGAAGCUAACGCAUUAAGUGUUCCGCCUGGGGAGUACGACCGCAAGGUUGAAACUCAAAGGAAUUGACGGGGACCCGCACAAGCGGUGGAGCAUGUGGUUUAAUUCGAAGCAACGCGAAGAACCUUACCAGGUCUUGACAUCCUUUGAAGCUUUUAGAGAUAGAAGUGUUCUCUUCGGAGACAAAGUGACAGGUGGUGCAUGGUCGUCGUCAGCUCGUGUCGUGAGAUGUUGGGUUAAGUCCCGCAACGAGCGCAACCCUUAUUGUUAGUUGCCAGCAUUCAGAUGGGCACUCUAGCGAGACUGCCGGUGACAAACCGGAGGAAGGCGGGGACGACGUCAGAUCAUCAUGCCCCUUAUGACCUGGGCUACACACGUGCUACAAUGGCGUAUACAACGAGUUGCCAGCCCGCGAGGGUGAGCUAAUCUCUUAAAGUACGUCUCAGUUCGGAUUGUAGUCUGCAACUCGACUACAUGAAGUCGGAAUCGCUAGUAAUCGCGGAUCAGCACGCCGCGGUGAAUACGUUCCCGGGUCUUGUACACACCGCCCGUCACACCAUGGGAGUUUGUAAUGCCCAAAGCCGGUGGCCUAACCUUUAGGAAGGAGCCGUCUAAGGCAGGACAGAAGCUCGG